GGUCACGAGAACCGACGCGAAGCCCCGGCUGGUCGGACAGCAACCCCCAUGUCACGGCGGGGUGCUCCGGGAGAUGACCUGGCCGGCCCCUCCGGGUCGGCAAGCCACGACG
rnacentral:ncRNA from 2 species